rnacentral:lncRNA from 1 species
GAUCUUGCACUCACUCCUGGACUCCUUUCACAAUUGUUGUGAAACUCUCCAUCCAUGACAAAACCCGUUGUCCUAAUUGAACAAGCUAGAUAUCAGUCUCGCUGAUUUGCUUAACAUGUUGAAAAAUGUUAAGAGUCACUUUCCAACCAAGAAAGAGCAUGUCUUACUGGUAGGAGCCAAAGGAUGUUCUGAAAAGAAGAACGAUUCAAAGAAGGUAAAUAAAAAGGCAAAAACAAAGGAUAAUAAGAACAAAACUGAUACGGAUAGCAAAGGAGUUUGCUUCCACUGCAAUAAGCCUGGACACUAGAAAGAAUCUGCAAGAAACAUCUUGCAGAGGUUAACCAAAGAAGCUUAAGUGAAGUUUCGGUUACAAUACAGUUUGUUCAUGAUUAAAAUAAAUUUUCCUUUAAGUCAAGCUUUUAC